UAUAGACACUCAAUUAAAAAUAUCAAUGUAAAAUGAAUGUUGGGGGUUGUGUUCCUCUUUGUAUUUAUAUUGUAGCAAAAAAAGAACAUGGUCCCUUUAAGCUAUCCUCUGUGUUCAUCUUGUCUCUAUUCCUAUUGGCUGUGUAAUGUGUCAGUCAGAGAGUAUGCGCAAGUUACGGGAAUAGAGGAGUUUCUAGUUUAGUCUACAGGUUGUUCUCAUGCUCAUCGCACGGUCGGAAAAGCUGCCGUCCUGUGCCGGAGCGAGACAACCGAACAGUGUGAGGUUUGACAUGCAAACUGGUAUAUCGACUACUGUACUGUUGGUGAGUGUACCGAUGUAACCAACCUGUUAAAGAAGUGAAGUAAAAGCUCAGAAAGCCAUCUCUUUGUCGUGGCUCGUUACUCCCACGCAUCCACACAGGCCAACGCUUAAUGAGGCUAACUGACUACACACGCAAACACAACAAUAUAUCAAAAGCAUAACUCUCUAGAUGACUGAAUAGUGAUAUGUUGUGAUUUCGGAGAAGGACAGAGACCAUGACAGGGGUGACAACAAAAGGAUAAAGAGAGCAAGACCGAUAGGACAAGAGGAUACUGACAGGCCAGAAGGAGCUGACAUUCAGGGAGCUGCUGAUGUUUUCAGAUUUGUAGAGAGCGAAGCUGAGGAGAAGAGAGAGGCUGCAGAGCUGUUCUUCACUUGUUGAGGACAAUCUUAAACUUGCUCAGCAGACACAGAUAUUAAAGUGUUGAAUUGUUCAUGUUAUUAAUUUUGUUGUUUAUAUUUGUAUAUUUUUACAAAAGUAAUUUGUUUCAAGAAUAUUUAUUUACUAAGGGUAAAGUUACCUUAUAAUUUAAGUUUUUACUGUACUGCCUUUUUUAAACUAAAACGUAAAUUUGUGUAUAGCUGGCAGUUUACAGUACACAACUAGAAAGGUUUUCAAAGACACACACAACUGUAGCUGUCAAUUGUUUUUGUUUAAUUAAUUAAUUUUGAUUCCAACUUUUAUUUAUCUAAAGAUAACAUUAAGUUUAAAAUGGCAAUGUUAGAUUCAUGUUAAAACUGUCUGUCAUGUGUAGACGCGUUAUUGACUUGUUGAAAAAUUCCAAUUUAUGAAUUCAGUUGUCUUGCGAAUGAUUUGUUCGCACAAUUUGGGCAUGAUUGGACUCUAUGGCUCAGUUCCGAGAGUUCUGGUUAAAAGCUGGUAUUAAUACGGUUUACUUAUGGCAGAGAUAUGGUAUCCAUGCUAAAACCUGUUCUGGCCCAGUUACGGCUUAUUAACUGGCUGAGUCUCGGCCCAGUAGCCCAUAUGUGGCCCUCCACUGUAAUACAGAUUCUGGCCCACCCUAGGGCCGUCAUUCUUUGUUGUAUGUGGGCAGAGGGAAAAGGAUUUGUGUGGACCGGAGCUGGGCCAACACAAAAUUGCUAUGUGGGCUCUGUUCCUUUGCUAAACACACUUUUUGAUUCUGCUCUCAGGCAGUUUAACACAGAAUGCUGUUUUCAGUGCAAAACUCAUAUUUCUGACUCUCCCAAUGCUCGGAAAGAGCUUUUCACAAACUAACUCUGUUCCUUUGCUAAACACACUUUUUGAUUCAGCUCUCAGGCAGUUUAACACAAAAUGCUGUUUUCAGUGCAAAACUCAUAUUUCUGACUCUCCCAGUGCUCAGAAAGAGCUUUUCACAAACAAAAAACAAUAAAAACAUUGACUUCAUUCCACUACACACAGGUUGCCUUUAUAAGUCUUAAGGAUGUUAUGGAAGUAGCUCACUAACAUGCUGAAAAUGGCCAUGCCAUUCAGCGUUUAAAAAGUAAAUUUAAACAAUAGUUGAUUUUUAAUUAGUUUGUAAUCAUUCUAUAUAGUUGUAGACUACUUAUUGCCACAAAAUACAUUGUUCAAAAUAUAUUUUAGAUAAAAUCUUGCAAUUUACAAGACUAGUCUGUUGGUUCUGUUUGUUUGAGCAAUACCACCACGCCAGUAGGUGGUGGUAAAGCUCCGUGGUCCAAUGUGCAUGCACGAAUCCACGUGUUAACACGUCGUUUAAACUACGCGUUAACGCGUGGUACGUGUCGGUACACGAUCCGGGAUGCCUGCACGAUCCGUCCGCGCAUGCGCAUAAUGACGUAGUAGAAAACGCGCAUGCGCAAAUGAUAAUUCUGUUUUGCGACGAUUCACGACACUGCACGAUCUGUUCCACGCUUGCGCACCUUUGUACCGCGACUUUCACUACUGCCCACCUCUGGUCUCAUGUCACUUGUGUGUGCAAACUAUGCGUUCUUUCAAGUAAUUUCCAUUGUCAGUUUGUACUCUGUAACGUUUCCCCAGACUUGUUUGUAGUUCUUUCUUCAUGUAUAAGUGCAGAUAGUCUAGGCAGAAAUGCAUAUUAUGUUCCUUAUUGUCUUCUGUAAACACCAUUGAAGGGAUUAUUUUCCUCAUUUACAUUAUAUAGAUAGAUGUAUUAGCCUAUAUAGACCCAUACAAAUUACUCAAUUUAAAGUUAACUAAUAUCAGCAGCUUUUAAUAAAAAAAUGACACAAACCGUCUUUGACAAUACUACGGACCUCAGAUCGAAACACGGCAAGUUAAGUAGGCCUAAUGCCAUACAGCAAUGAAUCGCAAAGGGGAGUAUGGAGGAAACUGAAGGUUUGCAGUGACAGAAAGACUCAGACUUUAUUCCACAUCCACACCAUAUAACAAAAUCGUGUAUGUUCAUGUAACAACUCCUUUAUUAUUUUGGAUUAGCACCACGUAAACACAUCGUAAUGCAUAGUGUAAGAUAUAUUUAAAAACAUCAAAAUAGACUCGCCGUGAACUGUUAAAUGAAAAACACAAUGCAGCCUACAAAAAUAUGCCGCCAGUUGUGCCGCCUGGCCUUCAAGUGUUUUCGUCGCAUGCGUGUUACCAAUAGUGUAGGGAAACCGUGACGUGUUUACUAUGUAAUUACGCGCAUGCGCAGAACGGAUCGUGCGGGCAUCCCGGAUCGUGUACCGACAGUACGUGUUAACACGUUAGUUUCACACGUUUUGGUCCUCUCGGCCUUCCAUAGGAGUGCGCCAUUUGGGACAGCCAGUCAAACCGAACCAGUGCGGCAACUUCCGGGCUGAACGUAGGUCCCAGUUGAGAUUAUAGGACUGGUAUGGUGUAAAUGGACUUCUGGAAAACCAUCCAGUUAGGGUAAUUUUUAAAAAUGGUUGGGAAUAUGAAUAUAAAGACAAGCUUUGGCUGGGUAGUAAGGAAGGAGGAGAACAGCUUGGAGAUGAAAGACUAUGAAAUUGCUCCUUAUGUUGCUAUACCAGCAAUUCCCCCUUGUUGUUCCCUAUGCCACUAAUAGAUUUACAAAUUCACAAAAUAAUGAAAGAACUAGAGAUGAACAUACCAACUAAAUUAGUGGUUCAACAGUAUAUAAUAAAGGAAUAUUAUUCUGUAUUACAGGUAUUUACAGAUGGGCCUAAGGAACCAGAGUCUGGAAGAACAGCAGCAGCAGUAUAUAUUCAUACUUUUAAAAUAAAAAUU